GAUGAACGCUGGCGGCGUGCCUAAUACAUGCAAGUCGAGCGAACGGACGAGAAGCUUGCUUCUCUGAUGUUAGCGGCGGACGGGUGAGUAACACGUGGAUAACCUACCUAUAAGACUGGGAUAACUUCGGGAAACCGGAGCUAAUACCGGAUAAUAUUUUGAACCGCAUGGUUCAAAAGUGAAAGACGGUCUUGCUGUCACUUAUAGAUGGAUCCGCGCUGCAUUAGCUAGUUGGUAAGGUAACGGCUUACCAAGGCAACGAUGCAUAGCCGACCUGAGAGGGUGAUCGGCCACACUGGAACUGAGACACGGUCCAGACUCCUACGGGAGGCAGCAGUAGGGAAUCUUCCGCAAUGGGCGAAAGCCUGACGGAGCAACGCCGCGUGAGUGAUGAAGGUCUUCGGAUCGUAAAACUCUGUUAUUAGGGAAGAACAUAUGUGUAAGUAACUGUGCACAUCUUGACGGUACCUAAUCAGAAAGCCACGGCUAACUACGUGCCAGCAGCCGCGGUAAUACGUAGGUGGCAAGCGUUAUCCGGAAUUAUUGGGCGUAAAGCGCGCGUAGGCGGUUUUUUAAGUCUGAUGUGAAAGCCCACGGCUCACCGUGGAGGGUCAUUGGAAACUGGAAAACUUGAGUGCAGAAGAGGAAAGUGGAAUUCCAUGUGUAGCGGUGAAAUGCGCAGAGAUAUGGAGGAACACCAGUGGCGAAGGCGACUUUCUGGUCUGUAACUGACGCUGAUGUGCGAAAGCGUGGGGAUCAAACAGGAUUAGAUACCCUGGUAGUCCACGCCGUAAACGAUGAGUGCUAAGUGUUAGGGGGUUUCCGCCCCUUAGUGCUGCAGCUAACGCAUUAAGCACUCCGCCUGGGGAGUACGACCGCAAGGUUGAAACUCAAAGGAAUUGACGGGGACCCGCACAAGCGGUGGAGCAUGUGGUUUAAUUCGAAGCAACGCGAAGAACCUUACCAAAUCUUGACAUCCUUUGACAACUCUAGAGAUAGAGCCUUCCCCUUCGGGGGACAAAGUGACAGGUGGUGCAUGGUUGUCGUCAGCUCGUGUCGUGAGAUGUUGGGUUAAGUCCCGCAACGAGCGCAACCCUUAAGCUUAGUUGCCAUCAUUAAGUUGGGCACUCUAAGUUGACUGCCGGUGACAAACCGGAGGAAGGUGGGGAUGACGUCAAAUCAUCAUGCCCCUUAUGAUUUGGGCUACACACGUGCUACAAUGGACAAUACAAAGGGCAGCGAAACCGCGAGGUCAAGCAAAUCCCAUAAAGUUGUUCUCAGUUCGGAUUGUAGUCUGCAACUCGACUACAUGAAGCUGGAAUCGCUAGUAAUCGUAGAUCAGCAUGCUACGGUGAAUACGUUCCCGGGUCU
rnacentral:rRNA from 1 species